CUCAAUAAUGUUUCACCUUUAUGACGGGGAUUAAUUUGUGUUUAAGUUUCUACUGUUUGUCAGUGAGGCUGACCAUAAGGAUGACGAGUCGUCGAAAAAUGAAUACUUUCAGUCGAUGCUCCACCAAAGGAAUAAUAAUAAUGCAGUCAAUCCAUCUCUUGGAUUACGUGGAAAUCCUUGAAGUCCAACAAAAUAAGAUUAACUGGUAUUCUCGGAUUGGUUAUAGAAACGAUGCAACCACUGCACUUGCACAUGACAUAAUAGACUUGCCUUGUGGCAUUGGGAUUCUACCUGAUUGAGGUACCAUGUGGUUGGAGUAUUUGAACAAACAAGGAUAAUAUAACUGACUGUGGUUAAUGUCGUCAUUACUACAUGUUUGUUGUUCUCUUAUAUGGCUUGCACCUAAGUUUCUAUGAUUGUGGUUCUGUUGGCUCUAAUUAUCUUGAUAAGUGUGUAAGUCGAUGGUGUCGCUGCCUAACGUUUCUACGCUAUUCUAGUAAUUUCUGUCUCCCUGGAAUAAUGAAUCGGUGUCCUGGCAAUGGUAUGAUAUCCAUAUACCGCACUGCACUUUCAAUAUAAAGGGAUCAUACCACUUGGAUACUGGUUCACAACUCCCGGAUACAAGACAAUAUCGUUCUGGUGACAAUUAGCGUCACCUAGGUUGGCUACUACCUAGGGCUUGGUCGGAAGAAUAACUAUGAUUUUCUAUGAAGGUUACUCCUAUGAGGUGAUUUUGUCAUUUUUUCGGAGCACAAAAUCAGUGAGGACUUUGGUACAACAGAAAGUGUCAAGUUUAUGACCUUCGCUAGAUUGCUCCAGUCACUAGUGUAGAUAAGUAUGUAAAUGGAUAGAGAUAGGGAAGCAAACACAAAAUGUACGUGGUUCACCUAGAUUGGCUACAUUCAUGAAGUAUAAGAGUUCUCAUUAAUUGUGAAGGGUCUACACAAGUACAUAGAUUCAAGCUCUCCUUUAGUGAGUAAUAGUGAAUGAUUUAGUACAAAUGACAUUAGGAAAUAUUGCGAGAGAAUGAUCUCUAUUUAUAGAAGAGAGUUUCUAGUUUCAUUCUGACAUUGACACGUGUCGUGUUAUGAUUGGCUUUUGAUGUUGACACGUGCUGCGCUAUGAUUGGCUUAUGAUGUUGACACAUGUUGCGCUGUGAUUGGCCUCCUGGUUGGAGGGAAACUCUUCUAGGUCCUUGACGGUAUAACGUUGACCGGUGCUCAGUAGUUUCGGGAUUGGUCAAGUAUGGUACAAACAGUGCUCCCCUAAGUUCUCGAGUGAGGGAAGCUCCUCGGUUAGGGACUUGCAAGAUCCAAGCCAUUGAGUAAUCACGAAACUUCUAAGUACCGAAAUGUGGUAUCAUUUUCACUUGCCUUAUCUGUCUCAUAUGUAGAUGUGGCAUUUUCUCUGGAAGUACUUUUCCUCCAUUCAGGGGUGGUAUCUUUAACCAAUGAAGAUGCACAAGGUAAUGUAUCAAUUUCACUUGAAGCUUACUUGUAGUUUCGGGCUUAGUCAAGUGCGAUACAAACCCUAUAGUAGGAGUGCCCCAAGUCGCCGAGCUAGGAGAUUUGCCGAAUGAGGUAACA
rnacentral:lncRNA from 1 species